AUGUUAGUUUUUUUUUUUUUUUUUUUGGGGGGGACGCUCUUUUCCUUUCUCAAGCCCCACUGAAGUGGCCGAACCACAGACUCCCGAACUCCAGCACCGUUCCUUCACUUCUUCUCCUCCUCUCCGUCUCCGAACUCCAGCCUCCAGUUCUUCAGUUCUUCGGCGGCUCCCAGCUCGGCCCUUGAUCAGUGUUCAAAAUUGCUAGGUUAUUCAGUCCAAUCACUCCACCGAAAGAGAUUUGAAGAAGGGGCAGAGCAGUUCCGAAUAGAUGUUGCCCAGAAUCCAAAUGAUACAGAGGAGUCCAUUUGGUGCUUUCUUUGUGAAGCUCAAUUAUAUGGAAUUAAGGAAGCAAGAGAACGGUUUCUUGAGGUUGGCCGAGAUCCAAGACCUGUCAUGAGAGAAGACUAUAUCAUGUUUAAAGACAGUGGUAAUCCAGAAAAGGGAUUUGAGUGAAGCUUUUCCUCUCUGACCAAACAUUUUCUUAUUUGAGCUUGUUGUUCCUAGGUGUGGUUAUGGAAGUUCAAGCCCCACCGAGCCUGUAAUCCUAGAUCCGCCCUUGGAAGGCUGGGUCUUCGAAACCUCCAAUAGAUCUCACGAGUUAGUGGCUGGUGCAUCCAAGAGAUUCGAUAAGAUCAGAGUUCUCUCUCUCUCUAAAAAAAAAGGAAUUUGUUCUCCACUUUUUUUUUUUAUUUAUUUAUUUUUUUUUUUGAAAUUUUGAUUGCCAAUUUGACAUCGUCUAGAGAACAUGAAAUGGAUUGUUCAUCACAGUUGCCAGUUUGUAUUUAGGGCUUAGCAUUUACAUUCACAAAAAGUUUCCAUUCCACUUUUCUAGAAUACAUAUUGCCAAUUUACCAUGUUCUGAGGAACAUAAAUUGGUUGUGUGGUGUAUCAAUCACAAUUCUAUCAAGUAAAUUGUUCAGUCGGACUCUUCUCUUUCUUUCUUUCCUUUUUUCUACUUUAUUUUUAAUGAAAAGAAAUCGGGUGGUCUUUAGUUUGGAUAUUAUAUUGUUGCUUAUUUGAAAAGUAAAACAUAGCUUUCCUUUUUUCGGAUUUUGCAAUUCCAUAGUUAGGACUGCCAUAUUCAAUCUAAAUCUGCCUUGAGCUAAACGGACCUUACAUUGCAGAAAGAUGUGCAGGUGCUGAUACUUUCUCUCUCGUUGCUCGAAUAUUGCAUAGAUCCAAGGCUCAUCUCCAGACAAUGCUUUUUCAAAAAAAUGCUGCUGUAGUUGAAGAUUUCUAUGUGAAUUUGGUGGAUGCUGUACCAGAUCUUAUAGAGCAAAUUCAUAGGAAAACUGCAAGAUUGCUCCUCCAUAUUAACGGGUAAGACCAGAAAAUCCAUUACUGGGUUGGGUUGUUUUGUUGUGCAAAUAGGCAGGUCUUUUUUGGAAAUUAUUGGAAAUAUGUUCUGUUAUUAUAAAUUUCUUGUUUUCCUCUGGUCUCUAGUCUAUAAUUUUCCUCGUCUAUUUGACUAUAGUAUCUACUUAUAAUUACUUUGGUAGUUUUAAAUUUUACUUCAGUUUUAGUGUAUAUCACCGAGUUAUUAUGCAACCAUGAAAUUUAAAAUAAGAGUUGGGGAAGAACUGGACUAGAUUCUCUAUUCAACUGUAACAUCCUACAAGUAUCCAGCUGCACAAAUGGUAUUGUCUGGAUUGUGUGUCUUUUCUUGAUAUUAUGUUCUUGUUGAUUGUUCUUUGAUUAAUAGCAUGGUAUUGAUUUUAGUUAGUUUAAUUGUGCUAGUUUGCAAUCUCACUCCUGAAUUUGAAAGAAGUUUGGAAUUGGGCAGAAAUACUUGAGUUGUGUUUCAAUUCUAUUUUUGUUCCGUUUGGGAUUUGGGGUGAGUGACUUCCUUCCUUGCUAUUGUUUCUAGUCUCUCUUUUUAUCAGUUAUGUGGAAAUUGGGGAGGUUGCUAUUGGUCAAUCUGUUCAUAUUCUUCUCUUUGGUUGUUCUAACUUUACCUUGAUAGAUGAAUAUCAACUCCUCCGAAUUCUAUCAGGUGAUAAAGAGAUGGGUAUAUUUUCAAAUGUUUAAAUGUUAGUUGUCCAAAAGUGGGUGCCAUUCUUUUUACUCUGGUAAUUCUUGGUAGAUUAUACUUAUUUGAUCGUUUUGUAAAUUGGUUUGUGGACUUCGUGGUUAGUAAGUGUUUAUUGAAUUGAUGGUGCAAUCUUUUCUUUAUUCUGUUUUCUAUGAACAACCUGGUUGUAAUUUAUAUAUUAUUGUUUUUGUUGGUAGUUACUAAAUCUUGUUGAGUAGAAACCUAUGUAUGUGUCCGCAUUGCAUGAAACAAUGUCUCUGCCUUACGUUGCCCACAUGUUAAUGGUUAUAUGUUAAGUUGCAAUUUCUUCUUAGCAACUCAAGUGCUUGUACUAUUUUAGUUGCUCCCUGAUGACUCUUUUAGUUUCACUGUCAUGAGCUUUCAUUUGUGCUUGUACUAUUCAACAUAUAUAGCUAUAAAUAUAGUCACUUGACUCAAUUUCUCAUAACUUUGUUAUUAUGUCCAUGCCUCAUUCACCAAAAUGAUUAACUAAUCCAUAUAUAGCUAUAAAUAUAGUCACUUGACUCAAUUUCUCAUAACUUUGUUAUUAUGUCCAUGCCUCAUUCACCAAAAUGAUUAACUAAUCCUUCAUUAGCCAAGAUGAAACUGAGUUCUUAAAUUGAAUAGGCUUAAUCAGCAAAUUCCUAAUGGAUUUAGCUGCACAAAUCUACUGCAAUUUCAACUCCACAUUUUUGAGGCCAAGAAACAGCAACAAAUUCAAUUAUAUAGUGAAGUAUUAUUUUGACAGUUCAUAGAUUGAACUGUUAAAAACAUAUAUAUACUUCAAAAUGUAAGACUAAAAUUCUAAAUCUAGUAUUCUAAGAUUAAACUAGUAUGUCAGUUAAAGGUGUUAUUACAAGGCGAACAGAAAAUUUCCAUACAGGAACUUACCACAAUCAAAAGCAAUGACAAGUUUCAGUUUUAUCUCUUCCUCCUAGAAGGGAAAACAGAAAUUGAAUGGUUAAUUCAUCUGCAGUCUGAAAUAUCACUACUUACUUAUGUAUGUAACAUUCAAACCAUGAAAUAUAUCAUCCAAUGCUUAUACCAAAGAAAGUUUAGUAAUAGUUCGCAGUCAGGCAUUGCACACUUGGAGUUGAAUUUGACUAAAUACCGAGGUUAUCAGAUCAUAACCAGAAACAGGGAAGAAAACUAAGAUGUUUUAUAGAAAAUGGACUAGUACAAUCGGUGGCAAAGAAAAGAUUUAAACAAUCAUGUCACUAACAUAGAAUACAUGUCAACAGUAUGAACUGACAUCGGUAAAACACUGUAGAAAGAUGCAAAAACAUAAGAGAAAAGAGGAAGGGGAGGAGGGAAUCAAAUACAGAACUUAAAUAACUACCCACAUCCAACCCAAAUCCCUAGUCCAGGUAAUUUUGUUUUCUAUAGAAAGAAAUAACUCAAUAUGAGAGAGAGAGAGUACUGAACAAUGGAAAAGAAGCUUACAAGCUACAACUGAGAAGCAGUGGGCAAAAUGUCAAAAAUAAACUAGAACAUCUGAGGCAUUAGAUAAAGUUUCAUUCUAGUUUGAAAAUAUUGUCAGAAAAGCAGUUGUCCCCGCAGUCAUAAGAAAAUGAAGCCAAAGUCCAUAAUUAAGUCCUCCCCCAUCAAAGUGAUUGGCUAAUUCCUUAAUGAUCGUGAUUAAAUCAAUUAAUUGAGGCUGAUUGAUUCAAUUAUGCUAUUAAGGAAAAUGCAAUUAAUUACGUGUCAUCAAGGCAUUCCAAAUUGAGAGAGAC